AAGCAGCCAGAGCCAGACCCGGGCCUGUGCCCCCCUCCCCACCCCACGGAGGCCCACGGCAGGUGCCAAUUUCACCUCCUUCUUCUCUGAGUGGGAAAAGGACAGCACCAUGCAUCCUUCUUACUGUUGUUUUUCUGAGAGGCAGCAGUGGCUAAGAAUGCAGGGGUUGGAGCCCUGUAUUUGGCUCCAAUCCUAAAUCUGCCAUUUCCCAUGAUACUCUGGAUUAAUCACUAUAAACUUCUGGUAGAUUUAGUUUUCCCCUCUGAAUAUUGGGGUGAUGCUAGCACCUAACCCCUAAGAGUUUGUGAAAAUUAAUGAGGUGACUUGUGCAAAGCACCCAAAGAAGAAAGUGACUGAACAAGAGGAGCCACUGAAACCAUUUCCUAGUUAUCACCAUGCAGGAUUCUUAUAAAGAUAAAAUAAGGUGAUGAGCACUGUUGCGGUUGUUGCAAAAGAGAAAAGUCAACUGACACUGUACUCAUUUAAAAAAUAGCAAAAGUCACUUGUACAUGGCACAAUGACAUGGAAGGUUAAACCCCACUCCCUAAUUCACAUGCGUCGGUCCCAGCUGUGGGCCUGUUGUGGAUGCUUCAGGUGAGCUCCCAGAGAGAAAGCCCAUGGUGGCAGUGGCAGCAACAGCAGCGACUCAUAAUAGCUUGGCUGAUGGCGCACUGGGGAACACUGAGGCUAACACGUGCUGCUCUGGUGAAAUUUCUCCUCUGGUCUGAGUUUGGUCUGUAAAUCAAUUCCAUGGUGCUGCAAAACCAAGGCAGACCCAGAAAACACCUCAUUGUUGGGACUGGGGAUACAAAUUCAACAGCACUGUCUCACCCUAUAACAGGACUCCACUCACAUCUGCAGAAUACGGUACACUGGGAAUGAUGCUCCCUGCAAUUGUGCAAAGAGAGGCUAAGAGCUGAGUAAAGAUUUGGGGAUUCUAAAGGAGCUGUAGAGACAAAGAUUAAAACAUAGGGCCCAUAAAGAAGGAGUGUCCUAUUAAGAACCUAAAGUUUUCAUUUCAGUUGGGAUCCCUAAAAGGUCAUCCCUUGGAAAAUAUACGCUUUUCCAGGUAGGAGUACAUAGAAAUAUAUUUCUUACAAAGACCAAAGCUACAUUUGAAUCAACUACCCUCUGAUUAGAAUGAAAUUAUCAGUCCCUACACUUAUUGCCUGUUAUAAGCUCAAGUAAAUUCUCCUGAAAGGAAGAUAAAAUCAUUCAAGACUCAAUCUCCAAAGUUUUAUACACGAUGAUCAUAAUUCCAUCAAAAAAGGAGGAGUUCUUGUUGUGGGUCAGUGGAAAUGAAUCUGACUAGCAUCCAUGAUGAGGACGUGGGUUCAAUCCCUGGCCUCGCUCAUUGGGUUAAGGAUCUGGCAUUGCUGUGGGCUGUGGUGUAGGUCGCAGAUGUGGCUUGGAUGUGAUGCUGCUGUGGCUGUGGUGUAAGCCAGUGGCUACAGCUCUGAUUCAACCUCUAGCCUGGGAACCUCCAUAUGCCACAGGUGUGGCCCUAAAAAGACAAAAAAAAAAAAAAAAGUAACUAGGAGGAUUCAAUCAAUACAAAGACAAAGAUGUAUUUUUUUUAAAACAAAAGGAAAACAGUAACAAGAGAUAUUGGAAGUAUAUGAUAAAAUGUGAAAAUAACUAUGAUUAACAUGUUCAAGAAAGUAAAUGACAAUAUAGACAAUGACAGCUGAGAAACAGAAAUUAUAAAAAAGGAAUGAAAUAAAAUCCUGAAUAAGAAAAUAAAAUAAUCAAAAUUAAGAAAUCAAGAGAUGAGUUUAAAAGCAGAUUUAAAAUAUUAAAAUAAUUAAAUUAAUAAAAGAUUAACCUCCUAUUUUAGUAGGAGAGAGAUUUAGUCAAAUGGAAGAUAGUUAAUAAGAAAAUGUCCAAACUGAAGGACAGAGAUUCAGAAGUAUGAAAAGUACAAAAUACAUUAUAAGAGAUAUUGGAUGCAAGAAAAUGUCUAAUAUUUGCAACUGGAACUUAGAGAAGAGUGAGAUAAUCAGGCAUCGGAUGAACUUUUUUCAUGCCAACUUAGUCAAGCUGGAACUACUUUUGCUAGAAUUUUCUUCCCUGGUUGCACAGCAUGGAUUAACAUGGGUUAAAAGAAACACUGUGUGAAAGAUUCAGAACCCAGAAGUCAAUUAGCAGCUCUAUUGCUUUUACAUCCAGAACGUGAUAGCAGGGCACAGAGCACUACUGCAGCUCACACACCUUGUCAUUUACCUGCUGACUCACUUUGUAGGCUUCAAACAUCAGCCAGCUCCCUCAGAUUUCCUUCUUCAGUCUCUUCAACUCCUAGGAUGGGUACAUUUUUAGUUCUAUGUCAAAGGAUGCCGCUUCUUCUGCAGGAUACCUCACUAUCAAAGUUGGAGUCUUGCAGGUAGUGAGAGAUUAAUAUGGGUUCUAGUCCAUUUUCAUGGGUUCCCAAUAUUCCUCUCCCUAUCUACAUCUCCUCUUGACUUCAGGCUAUAGUAACAGAAACAGAAGAAACAUUUUCCCCUAGACUACUGAACUGGUUUGGGCAAUUUUAAAAGGUCAAAUCCCUAUAAUCAAUCUGUGUGUAUGUGUUUGUAUACCUAUAUCUUUUAAUAAUUCUGCUUCUUUGAUUGAAACUCAAUGCAGGAUAGAAACAUCAUUUGAAAAGAUAAUGGCUGGAGUUUCCAUCGUGGCGCAGUGGAAACAAAUCCAACUAGGAAUCAUGAGGUUGUGGGUUCGAUCCUUGGCAUCACUCAGUGGGUUAAGGAUCCAGCAUUGCCAUGAGCUGUGGUAUAGGUCACAUACGUGGCUCAGAUCUGAUGUUGCUAUGGCUGUGGCAUAGGCCAGCAGCUAUAGCUCCGACUGGACCACUAACCUGGGAACCUUCAUAUGCCACAGGUGCCACCCUAAAAACCAAAAAAAAAAGAAAGAAAGAAAAGAUAAUGCCUGAUAACAUUCCAAAACUGAUGAAAGACAUCAAAACACAGAUUCAAGAAACAUAACAGAUUUGCUCCCCAACAUGAUAAUUAUAAAGAAGCACACAUCAUAGGAAAAACUCCUAGAAACAAAAAACAAAUAGUAAAUGUUAGCAUGGAUGUGCAGCUACAGGAACUCUUCCUAGCCAUUGCUGGUGGAAUACAAAAUAGUACAGUCAACUUGGAGGACAUCUGGGUAGUUUUUUUAACCAAAUUAAAUAUGUUCUUACCAUAAAAACCAGCAGAUAUGCUCCUUGUUCUUUACCAAAUUGAACUGAAACCCAUAUC
rnacentral:lncRNA from 1 species